rnacentral:rRNA from 1 species
AACGAACGCUGGCGGCAUGCCUAACACAUGCGAGUCGAACGAGACCUUCGGGUCUAGUGGCGCACGGGUGCGUAACGCGUGGGAACCUGCCCUUAGGUUCGGAAUAACUCCCCGAAAGGGGUGCUAAUACCGGAUCAUGUCUUCGGACCAAAGAUUUAUCGCCUUUGGAUGGGCCCGCGUUGGAUUAGCUAGUUGGUAGGGUAAAAGCCUACCAAGGCGACGAUCCAUAGCUGGUCUGAGAGGAUGAUCAGCCACACUGGGACUGAGACACGGCCCAGACUCCUACGGGAGGCAGCAGUGGGGAAUAUUGGACAAUGGGCGAAAGCCUGAUCCAGCAAUGCCGCGUGAGUGAUGAAGGCCUUAGGGUUGUAAAGCUCUUUUACCCGGGAUGAUAAUGACAGUACCGGGAGAAUAAGCGCCGGCUAACUCCGUG